CUAUGGAUGGAAGAUAAAUGCUCUAAAAAUGGCCAAUACUGCAAACCGGAGGAUUAUUCCGGCGAGGUUUCACUUCUUCACAACGUACAGAUAACUAGCGCACAACAGUGUUGAAGCCUUGGUGACGAGUCACGUGCUAUUCUCAUCCCAGGGAAAAUGAGAAAGAAAAUAAGCAGUCUGAGGCCUGAGAAAGACUAUAAAAGAAAACAGCCCAAUUCACAGCUAAUCUCCAUGGAGGAGUAGUUUCAGGUGUACAGCCGACUGAUUUCAUACGCUAUGCUGUGCUCACGAGGGCAGCUGCCGCCUGCUACCACACAUCACUCUUGCAGUGCCAUAGACUGUAUUUCCUGUGCCGGACCCUUCAUCGCCAUGCCUUACUCGCUCCAUAGCUGGAAGCCUGCCACUCCCACUCUCUGUCACUUUUGCCCAUUCCUCCACCCUCCCUUCCCUACG